GCCGCCCGCGACUCACCUUUAGGGGCGGGGUUCCGGCCACGAUCGACGAGUGCGUCGACUAAUCAGAGGGCGCGACCUGCUCCGCGCGUCGGCAAAAGUCCCGGGGCUCGGCGGCGACAGACGCGGCAGGCAGCCAAUAGGGUUGAGUUGUAGCGGCCCGUGAUGUGGACACCUUCCGCGCGCGCCGAGAGAAGGGGCGGGACACGGCCCGGCGUGGGCUGCGCCAAUGCGCCAAGCCCGCAGCCGUCAGCCAAUGGGCUUCCUCCGGCCCGGCCGCGCGCUUUCUCCCCGGCGGCCCCGCCCCGCGGGCGGGUGCAGCGGGCGGAGGGUCCGCGGGCGGCUCGCGCGGGAGCGUUUGAACCGCGGACCGUUAGGCUGCCGCGCCGCGCGCCCCCCGCCCGCCAUCCCCCUCAGCCAUCCCCCUCAGCGGGGCCUCCGACCGCCCCGGGCCGUCCAGCCCCUGUCCGCUCCCACUUGGCCGUUCUCCCCUUCCCAACGUGCUCCCAACCACUUGGUCUGUUGUCUCCGGCAGCUUCUCUUUCGCUUUUCCCACUGCAGGUGGAUUUUAUGUUGAAAAUUAUCUAGGAGCCAAGAACGACUUUUGUGGUGAAAUUGUCUUUCCUUGAAGAUGGAAAUGUCUCCUCUGAUGCUACAGAAUGGCCAAACUUCUCUUGACCUGGUGUCCUCCUGUCCAUCAUCUUUUCCCACCUGCCGUGCAUGACCUAACUGAGAGGUAUGGACCAGAAUGAAGCAUCAAGGAUAUUACAAAGCCAUCCUUUAGAGCUAUGGAAUGUAAAAGGAAUGAAACCUAAAC